rnacentral:lncRNA from 1 species
CACCGUGCUUGGCCGGGCGGUGGCAGAGGGUGAGCGCUCCCUGCGCACCGGGCCCCGCACCUUCCCAGUGCCCGCCCCGGCGGGGAGAGCUCCCUGUGCUCGUACACUUGCCUCCCGAGAGGUCCGUGAUUUCCCUUCCCGCUGCCAUAGGCCUGGUCCUUUCCCCUCUGCCCACGGGUGUGGGGUUGCUGACCCCAGACACCCUGCUCAGGGGUCCGGCGGCACAACCGCGUGGGCACCUCCAGCCUCCCCGCCGCGGAGCCGCCGGCAGCGCCCUAUAAACAGCUCGUGUGCGAAAGCCACAGCCGCUGCAGCGUGUCAUGGAGAAGCAGCGGGAGAGAGAAAAGCUUUGCCAAGGGACUGGGCCCGGGAAGCAUGAGAUGGGUCAGAGGAACCCAUGGCUGUAACUGGCCGCUGCGCUGUGUGUCGUCACAAACCGGAUCUUCGAGAAACUUGGAGCAGCUGAAACCUCCAGUUCCCCCAGCAGUUCUGUGGGAGGAGAGGAAUGAAGCAGAACAGAUACAGAGUGUCUGGGCCACACAUGGAAUGUAUUUACUGCACAUCAGCCAAGCCCUGCUCAGAAUACAGUUCAUUUACUCCAGGGCAUUUCUUUAGUGUCCAUCACUGCAGCAGCCUACUGAUUUUGGACACAAAUGUUUUAUCAUCAUCACUGGAGGUGAGAGAGGGUGGGGUUAGGCUAAGCUUCAUUUUACAACAGAGGCCCAGAAGCCAAAAUCUUCAGUUUGAGGGCUAAACUUGUGACAAAGACUAACUGCUUCCCUUACCCCUCACUCCCUUUAGCAUUUCCCAUCCUUGUCUGUGGUAAAACACAUUUCCGGUUCCAUCAAACUCAACCCUCGGUGUUCCAAACAGAGCAUGUGAAAUCUGGG